GGUGCUGGCGCCGACCGUCUUGGCUGAAGGAAACACACAGCAGGUCCGACUGAGUAAGAACCAGGCUGGGCAGCUCACACCCUAACCUGCGUUUCCUCAAGACGAGCUUAUCAAGGUGACCGAGGGCCCAGUAUAGGAACCCAAACUACAGGACUCCAGCAGGCAAGCUGGGAAGAAUCAGUCUGACACCAAACACACAGGCAACAGAAGAAAACAGACUCAGCUGGACUUCAUCAAAAUUAAAAGCUUCUGUGCAUCAAAUGACACUAUCAGAGUGAAAAGGCAACCCACAGAACGGGAAACAUAUUGGUGAAUCAGGUAUCUGAUUAGGAACUUGUAUCCAGAGUACAUUUUAAAAGCUCUUACCACUCAAUAACUGAAAGACAACUGAGAAAUGGGCCAGGAGAGACUUUCUCCAGAGAAGGCACACCAACGGCCAACAAGCACAUGCCACGAUGCUCAGCACGGUUAGUUCCGAAGAAAGUGCCAACCAAUGCCCAUCAAAGCCACCUCAAGGCAGCACCUGUACUGCCAGGACAGCCAUGAUGGUUUCUAAGCAGCCAAUAGCCAGGGUGGGUAAGGGGUGGAGACUGGAGUCCUCAUUGGCCGCUGCGCAUGUGAGGCCGCGGCGCCAAGUCUGGUUCUGUGAGAAGCUAAGCUAGAAGCAUCGCACGGCCCAGGAGCCCUCUCCCAGGCCUCUGUCCCAGAGAGUUCAAAGCAGGGACUCACACAGACAUUUGCACACAGACGUUCCUGCCAAGACCCCAUCAGGCAUGUUCACAGCAGCACCCAUCACUGUGGCCGAGGCGGAAACGGCCCAAUGCCACCCACGAAGGAUAAACAAAGCGUGGGCUGUCCACACCAGAGUACCACUCGGCGAUAAGGCCGAGGACUCGCCCACCCGCCCACCCGGGCAAACUGGAGACACGACUGUGAGUGGAAGGAGUGAGGCCCAGCAGGCACGCAGGCUGACUCCACGUCUAUGGGAUCAGCGAGGUGCGUGCACAGGACAGGCGGUGCUGUGGGUGUCGGGACGCGGGAAGAGGCGGCAGGAAGGGACUGAUUGACGGACACAUUUCGGCGCAGGGGCAGACAGGGGCAGGACACGCGGAUUGCCCAACGCCCGUGGUCGUGCACUUCCAAACGGUGAGGUGGUGCGUUUAUCACAACAAAAAUCAGCCUCGACAGGACUCUCAGCCUCGCCCAGAAGGCAGGUGUCGGCAGAGAGUGUGGAUCCCAGAAAAGGUGACUCAGCAGGGACAGGAGGCGUGGCGCCAAGGAGCCGUCUCCGAGCUGAGUGCCAGCGCCCGGGUCUGCCCGCGCUGCACUGGCAAGCCCGGCGGGAAUACAGCCAGGAGCUGCCAGGAGGCGCACCGUCCGAGCCCAACCAGCACAUCGGAUUAACCCCCGGGUCCUACAGACUUGCAGGGACUGACACUCCCCUCUCAUCUGAUUCCAAAACCUCAAUCGGGGGUGCACCCGCCCCCAUCUGCGGAGGGGCCAGGGGAGCCGAGGGACGCAGAGAGGUGGCAGCCCCUCCCGUGGGUCCUGGGGUUUUCACGUGCUGGAAGCCGCUCACCGAACUCCUCCCCGCUCGAGGGCUGGUAGAAGAUGGUGUAGUUGCGGAUGAAGCCGUUUCUCAGAUGUUUGGGGAUCUCUUCCCACCUGAUGGUGACAGUGUUCACGCCGAUGCCCUCCACCUUGGUCACGGGACCUACUGACGGGGCUUGAUGAGAAGGGGAGAGACUAACGAAAGCUGCACCCUCUGACGAAAGGAUGGCCCCCCGGAAGGAGAAGUGAGACAGACCCUUCUCCACCGGGCCCAGCUGUGGCGCAGGUGCUGUCCUGCACAUCCUGUGCUGGCGGACGCCCUGGGCCCGGUUCUCGGCCUGCGUCCCUGCGGUGAGGUCUCCCCUGCAGGACGGUAAGCAGGAGAAGUUCGGCUGGUGGGCGGCUACGACCUCACUCAGUCCCACACGGAUCAGGGGCCUCCCUGAAGGGAAGGCAUUCCCGGCACCAAGCCCCUGGGGAGGGGCCGGCUCUGAAACAGGGGCCAGACCGAAGGGGCCGGUCGGACAGAUGGACCAACGCUGGGGCCACCCACAUGGUCGGGGGGUCUGGGAAGGCUAUCUGAUGUGCCCGUCCAGCCGCGCUGGGAAAGCCGAGAAGUGCGCGCCCAGCCCGCCAAGUGCUGGCAUCACGUUCCCGCCUGCGCCUCCUCGAAGGACGUGGAGACAGUGAGAAGGAGCACAUCUCCUCAGGGGGCGUGGCUACCUCUCCGGAUCGUCCAGUUCCUGGCCCCGGUCACCGCCUCCCAGCGCACGGUGGGGGGCUCGGAGUCCAGAUCGGGGGACCACUCCACCCUCCAUGAGUCCACGUGCGGAGUGGAGUUCUGCCACGCCACCACCAGCUGGUCCUGCGAGAGGUGGGCCUGCACGGCCUUGACGCCCGGGAACGCUGCGGGCAGAGGGGCAGACCAGCCUCUGAAUGCGUUCCCGCAGCUGCCGCCGCACACGCCCGCCGCCGCCACACACGCCCGCUGCCUCGGCGCCGCUCACACCCGAGCCGGGGAGCAGCCAGGGCUCAGGGCCUCCCCUGGCACCCCCGUGGCGGUGCCCUCACCCCCUUAUGGUCCCUUCCCCGCCCACCUUCGCUGAUCGAGUGCCCUCUGAUCUUCCCUUUUCUCCCAGAAGGUGUUCUCGCUGCGGCACUGAGACUCGAGGACUCACCUUUGCAGGUGCCCUCAAGUCACAGUGACUGCCAGCCUGCGGCCAGAAGGAGCCCCUGAGGACAUGGAGCCUGGACGAGGCGGGCGGGGCAGGAGCUUGAGCCAGAGUCCACCCCGAAUCCGGGGCUCCUCCCCUGCCCCUGGCUCACAGCCGCCACCUCCACGGGGAGGCCCAGGUGCCCGCGGGGUCAUCAGUGGAGGCGAAGGGGAAUGGGAGCGAGCAGCGGGCGGGCGCGCACGAGGUCAGUGCCCACGACGCGGGGGCCUCGGGAGAGCCCAGGCACGGAGCACACGUGUGGCUGUGGCACUGUGCCCGCGUGCAGGCUCGGCCAGCGCCCACACCUUGGACAGAACAAGCUGCACGUGGAACGUGCGGCCAGGCCUCUCUGCGUCACGCGAUUGAUGAGUCUGACUCAUCACAGGCUGCGCCCGAAGGACCAACCUCCAGGGGCUCAUUGGUCAGCAGAUGCCGCCCCUCCCACCAGAACCUCGCGGCCUCUCCUCGGCUGUCACCCUCACUGAGAGGCAGCCACCGUGGCGCCCUGGCCCCCUGGACGGCGGCAUCUCGGCAGGAGGUGACGUGGGACUCACCCUCCUCGGUGGCGGCCGGGAUGCGCAGGGCGGCGGCCGGACCCUGGCCCAGCGAGUUAUAGGCCACCACCGACACCCGGUAGGCCUCGGCGCCCAGCGUCAGCUCCAGCGGCUGGCGGGUGGUGUUCAUGGUCUCCGUGAGGUUGGUGGUGUUUUCCGGAAAGUACCAGACGUGGUAGCCGAGUACUCUCUCCAGGGCCGGGGCUCCUCUGGCCUUCUGAGCACGGGAAACCCAGUUUAUUGCCAAAAACAACAGAGGAAAGGCCCUGAGCCGGUGAUGGAUGGUGAGGGGAGAAGGGUGAGGCCAGCUCUUGUGCAAGCGACACGCAGGUAGGUCCCCUCCUGGGUGAACAGCACCCGCGCUGGGCCCCCCCUUCUGGGGCCAGAGAGGGAUGUGCUGGGCCCUUGGCAUCAGCGUUAACGGGGCCUCCUGCCCAGGGCUGGGGGGCCGGGCCUGCACAGGGUGCCCAUUUCCUGUCGCUGCGUCUUCCCUCCGUCCCACAUGGACACAGAACACGAGCUAAACGCAGAGCCAAGCCCAGGCUGUCCUGGCCGCGGGUCACCCCUUGCCUGGAAGGCCCUGACGGGUAUCUCCACCCCCAGGCACCCAGGCACCCAGCCUGAUGGGCUGCGCUCUCAGUCCUCAGUCCUGGGUGAGAGGCCCAGCUUCCUUCCAGCCUCCACCUGCUCUGCCUCCGCCUGCAGAUGGCCCACAAGGCUCCCACCCACGGCCAGUGCCUCUGCGCUUCCCUCUGCACUGUCCUGAGGUCCAUGUUCCACGUGGAAGGACAGAGGGCCAGGGCCUGAAUGCAACCCAGGACCUGCAAGUUUCAUAACAUAGAAAAGGAAAUGCCACGCCCAGCACCUCUGGCAGCCAACACAGCGAGACACAAACCAGGUGGAUGCAAAAGGAAGGUCUCUACGUGCCGGGCGCUCAGCAUGCAGGCGCCUGCGGGGAAACGCUCCCACCGAGGGCGGCGGGAGGGCGCGCUGCGCUCUGUCUCCGUUCUCACUGCAGAGAAGAGAGAGCGAGUCCAGCUCGACACCAGCGGCCAGUCACCUCCGCUCUGGGCCCUGGUCGGAACACCCCGUGGCAUGACUUACCCAGUGGGUGCUGUUCGCUGUUCUGAACCGAAGCCUGCAUUGCAACGCGGAAGAGGCGGGGGCCAGCUCAGGCUUGGCCCAUUGUAUCUGAAGCAUCCGUUUGAAGCCCAAAACUGGUUUCACACUGGAAAUCACAGAAUUUGAACAAGGGAAGUGUGAGGCAGUGAAAAGUUGGAAUUCAUCCUGGUGGUUACUGACGACAGGAUCACACAGCGAGUUGGUGGCAGAAAAGGCACCCUCCCUCCAGUCCUGGGCCCGAAGAAGAAAAGCUUUAUCACACAUUCUACGAGGAGGAAGAAUGCAGCUGAAUACAGUAAAUAGAUCUGUCCCCUGUGUGUGACCGGGGACAGCUGUCAGCCCGACCACAGCCACCCCCUCCCCCUUCCCCCCUGCAGUGUCUGAUCCUGUCAGCUGGGCUGCAAGCAGCCACACUGUCACACGCCAUCACCUGGCGGCUGGAUGCCAGAGGGGUCACCCUGCUGAAUGCCCAGGGGCCACUCAGAAGCUGUCACUGAGAACACAGACGUCCUGAGCCCGCCUCCUCCCCUCCCUCCAGCACACAGCCCUGCACUUACUGAGUCCUCCUGACCCUGUACCACGUGUGACUGGCUUCUUUCUCUGGGCUCCAGGUGCAGGUAAAAUUCUUCCCGUAGUAGUAGAUGCAAGAAAUGUUCUCGGGCUUGGCUGGCAGAGCUGAAACACACACAGACACACACACACACAGACUUCAGUGCGUGGGAACAUGCCAGCAUCGAGCGCUUGGAGGAAAACAGCGACCGGACGCGGGGUUGGCUGGUGAGCUGCGAGGUCUGGCAUUUUCUCCUCAUCGGGGCCGUGGGAAGACUCUCAUUCCGUCCCUUGGGAAAUAUGACAGGCCAUCUUACCACGUCGGCACAUGCGUCCACAUACAUCCACGUGCACACGGCCCCAACCCCCUCUGCAGGGCCCACAAACCCCCUGCUGCCCCUCCUGUGCCCGGGGCCCAGUGCCCCUCUGCUCUCAAUGGGCAAUUCCUGUCCAGAGAAGGCAAUGACUCACGCAGCCCAGCCCAGCAGGCGCACAGCCCACCUACCUGCCAGGCCGCCUGGGCAGAGCAGAGGGAGCGCCCACAGCACCCAGGCCCACAUGGUCCCGCGUCUGCGGAGAGAACCGAGUGUCCUCGGUCAGUUAGCUGGCUCCGUGUCGGUUCAGCAAGCAGAGUCCUAGGCACAAACACGCCUGAGCCCUUGUUUUUUUCCAUCUUAUUUCAUGUUAUGCGUCGACUGUCAUCACACAGACCCCUUUACACUCACUCCGUCCACCCGUCCACAACUGUUCUGUCCACAGUUCAUUCCACACGUGACAUGGAAGGUACUGUGCUGAGAACACACUCCCGGGAGAAGUGGGUGAGCUCUGCGGGUCUGAGCCCAUCCUUGCCUCGGCCCUGGUGCCCAGCCAAACGCACGGCUCACCGUUUCCCCCAUGCACCAGGGUGUCUUCACCCCACGCUCCGUCCGUGGGCUCCUUCCGCCUAAAUGUCCUUCCCCGAGUCCUGGCAGGUGACCCACCCUCCAGAGCCACCUCAGCUGACCUCCUCCGGACACCUGCCUCCUCCAGCGCCCACAGGGAGGUGGCCGUGGCCCCGGCCCGCCCCUGUCUGCCACCCCAGCGCGUGGGGCCGGGUACCUGUCCUCCAGCGGCUCCUGUAGCAUCUCCCACGCCCCUCGGAGCCUGUGGUCAGGGCGAUGCCUGGUCUGUGGGAUGCACCAGCACCGAGCCUGCCCUCCCGUCCCAGCUGCGCCGCGGGACAGUGGCAAGCAAUGCCUCCUUUUAGGAAGAAGCGAAUGGAACAGCAUCGCAGCUGCCAGGCCCUUGUAGGGAACAACACGUUCUCCACCCAGGCGGUCACUGGAGGGACCUCCCUUCCACGCGCAGUGUUUCUGGAGAAAACCACAGAGGCAAUCGUCUCUGAUAGGAACAAAUUGAGAAUGCCCAGGGCAGCCGUAAUGAGCUCGAUGGGGAACAGUGGCAACGCCUGGGGAGCGGGGAGAGCCUGGGCCGCGCUGCCCUCACACAGGCUGUUCUGCCAACAACCGUGUUGACUGAAAUGAGUUUGAAACCUACAGAGAACAAUUUCCCAUUGUCCAUGAAGAAGAUUCCCUGUGAUGGGAUUAGCGUCUUCACUGUCUAAUUACUGUCUUCAGCUUUUCACCUUGGAGCCAGAGACGCGCCCUCACAAGCCCUGGCGCAGCGGGAGGGGCCUCGGGACGGAGC